GAUCAUCCGAUCAGAUGUCUCAGGUGUCAAACCUCAACUUAUUGAAAAGUGGCAAUAAUAGUCAAGUUUCCACAACCAGUGUGGAGCCCGGUGUGGGGCUUGAACUGAAGAUCCUGAGAUCAAGACCUGAUCCUGAGAUCAAGUUGAAUCAAAAGCUUAACUGAC
rnacentral:lncRNA from 1 species